rnacentral:rRNA from 1 species
UACGUAGGGUGCAAGCGUUGUCCGGAAUUAUUGGGCGUAAAGAGCUCGUAGGCGGUUUGUCGCGUCGGCUGUGAAAACUCGGGGCUCAACCCCGAGCCUGCAGUCGAUACGGGCAGACUAGAGUGCUGUAGGGGAGACUGGAAUUCCUGGUGUAGCGGUGAAAUGCGCAGAUAUCAGGAGGAACACCGAUUGCGAAGGCAGCUCGCUGGAACGUUACUGACGCUGAGACGCGAAAGCGUGGGGGAGCAAACAGG